rnacentral:rRNA from 1 species
GAUGAACGCUGGCGGCGUGCCUAAUACAUGCAAGUCGAGCGAGUGGAUUAAGAGCUUGCUCUUAUGAAGUUAGCGGCGGACGGGUGAGUAACACGUGGGUAACCUGCCCAUAAGACUGGGAUAACUCCGGGAAACCGGGGCUAAUACCGGAUAACAUUUUGAACCGCAUGGUUCGAAAUUGAAAGGCGGCUUCGGCUGUCACUUAUGGAUGGACUCGCGUCGCAUUAGCUAGUUGGUGAGGUAACGGCUCACCAAGGCAACGAUGCGUAGCCGACCUAAGAGGGUGAUCGGCCACACUGGGACUGAGACACGGCCCAGACUCCUACGGGAGGCAGCAGUAGGGAAUCUUCCGCAAUGGACGAAAGUCUGACGGAGCAACGCCGCGUGAGUGAUGAAGGCUUUCGGGUCGUAAAACUCUGUUGUUAGGGAAGAACAAGUGCUAGUUGAAUAAGCUGACACCUUGACGGUACCUAACCAGAAAGCCACGGCUAACUACGUGCCAGCCGCCGCGGUAA